rnacentral:lncRNA from 1 species
AGCAUGGAUCUUUCUAAGCAUGCACAUGGCACCAUAAGAUGCAAUGCAUCGGCAGAAUGGACAGCUGGCAUUUGUGAGUGCAUUGCAUGACCGUCCAUCCUGCGUUGUGCACAUAGCACGUGCGGUGCACCCUUGGAUGCCAUCCACAUAGGAUGGAUAGUCUGUGCUUGUGCUUGCAUUGUACGGCCAUCCAUCCAUUCAGAGGUGCACCGCAUCCGUGCCGCACAUGCAUCGUAGGACAUCCUCUCCAAACAAAUAAAUUGAUACGGCA